rnacentral:lncRNA from 1 species
CAAACCAAGGCCCGUAAAAUUCGCACGACAGAGAAACUAGAAAUCUAACCUAACCUUCACUGAAUCUCGCAUUAGUGACCAAUUCCUAUGUAUCACUACCGUAAAGAUUCAUUUCACGGCGUUUCGCCAGAAUUCAUAUCAAGCUCUCUCGGGCCGCGCAUACCGUGCCAAUUAUUCUCCGCACGGAAGUUCCACGGCUUGGCGUGAGAGAUUGAUGCGAGAGUCGAUGCACUCCACGCUUAUGUUUUAUUCAUACCUUUCACCAGGUUCGAUAAGAAAAUUAUAUUUAAAAGACGGACGCAAACUGAUGUCGCGGAAAAAGAGAAAAUCAAUUCGAUACUUGUCACUCAUGGAAAGUAAUAUAUAUAGAUAUUAUUAUUGGUUUUUGAUUUGCUACUUUGAUUGCUUUUGUGUUUCUGUGAUUAUAUUCUAAUAUAUAUACAUAUAAAAACUUGAAGAAAACUUAGGGCUACUUAAUAACAUUUUCAUUUCAUUAUUCAAUAGGUUUUUAAAGUGUUAAAAUAUAAGGAGGAAGUAUAUAUAUUGAAAUUCAAAAGGAAAAUCUUUGCUCUAUAUCCUUAUUAUUCUAUAGAUUUGCACAAAACUUCCACAGAAUGAAAAUAAAUGGCGCACAGUGGAAAACGGAGAAUGCAUCCUAUGUAAUUUAUGCAAGACCCAGAGAAGUAAUUAAGUGAUUGACUUUGCCAUUAUUUACAAGCAUUAUUCACCACGGAAUGGACGUUGAAACUGUAAUUUUCGCGACGAAGGCGUGUUCCACGCCUCGAUUCCGUUCUCCGCGUGAAAAAACCCUUGUACAAGCUCUAUAUUUAUCAACACGCCGGAUACUUUCGACGUUGGAGUCCAAACCGACCCUCGACAUUCUUAAGAACUGGAGGAUGCGUGUAGUUUCGAAAGAGACACGUGGAGGUUAAAAAUUAAUUAAUAUUCAGGAAGUAUACUAAGUGGGAAUGUCGCAUAGUGGGAGAAUUGUGCCGCGUGAUGGGGAGAAUCAACUCGGUACUUUGCCUCAAGGGAUUGAAAUCUUCGACGCAGACUAUAAUCGCCACAAUUUGCAUGCAAUAUUAAAACGUUCAUGCUAAUUAUAUAUCGCGUAUAUAAUAAAAAUCUGGAAUAGAAAACAUUAA